UACGUAGGGUGCAAGCGUUAAUCGGAAUUACUGGGCGUAAAGCGUGCGCAGGCGGUUGUGCAAGACAGAUGUGAAAUCCCCGGGCUUAACCUGGGAACUGCAUUUGUGACUGCACGGCUAGAGUGUGUCAGAGGGGGGUAGAAUUCCACGUGUAGCAGUGAAGUGCGUAGAGAUGUGGAGGAAUACCGAUGGCGAAGGCAGCCCCCUGGGAUAACACUGACGCUCAUGCACGAAAGCGUGGGGAGCAAACAGG
rnacentral:rRNA from 1 species